rnacentral:misc_RNA from 1 species
UUCUAGCUCUAACUUGCUAUAUUCUUCCAGCACCUUCCAGGUCCGAAAAUACUAAUACUAUAUAACACCUAUCAACACAAAAAAAACUAGCAACAAAAAAUCCAAGAACUAGACCUAGCAGUAUCUGUCAGCCAGAGAGAGGAAAAGAAAAUGAAACCCAUCGACGACAAGAAGGACAAAAUGGUAACAAGGGCAGUGUCCCGCGAUGAAGAAGGGA